UUACUACUCCAUCCGUCCCAAAAUUCUUGUCUUAGAUUUGUCUAAAUACGGAUGUAUCUAGUUACAUUUUAGUGUUAGAUACAUCCGUAUCUAGACAAAUGUAAGACAAGAAUUUUGGGACGGAGGGAGUAUUAU
rnacentral:pre_miRNA from 1 species